UUUAGCAUAACUUUACCUUUUUUUCGUACAACAAAUAAUAUGUGUAGCUUUUCGAUUUCUUUCUCAGCACCACAUCCUUCCCAUCUUCAAUCCCAAUAUCUCCUACAUCGUUUUUCCAUGGAUUCCAUAGCAUUGUUCUCAGUUCUCACUCUUUCCCUAUUGUAGCCUCACUCUCCCUAUUGUAGCCUCUGGAAUCACAUGAGUUUCCUUUGUUUGUCACUCGAUUUUCUAUCGUUUGUUAGCUUAAUAUAUUAGUUUCAACAUGUGGAAACUCGAAAGGGAGAUUUUGAGGUUUUGGAUGAUCGACUUCCAAUCCUCAAUUUAGGAUCCAUUUAAGGUAAUCAAGCAGUUCAAUCGUUAGUUUUCUCCUCUGUUUCAUUACUUUUAUUGGUUCAUUUUUACCUGUAACUAUAGUCUAUAUUAAUUGGGGUUUUGCAAUUUGGCCUAUUUUAUAUUGAAUCAGUUUUGAUAGUAUUUGUCAAUUUGUGAUUUUAAUAAUUGAAGCGUAAUUUCUAGGUUCUUUUACGUGAUGAAUCCAAGGACUAGGGCUAACUAAUUGAUUUGCUCUCUGCUAUUUGGAACAGACCUAAUUGAUCCAUCAUUGUGCAGAUGAGCACGCAGUCAUGCAGUAAGUUCAUCUUAAGUAAAAAAAUGGAACUGUUUGCAGGGGUUUCUGCUUUGUAUAUUUUACAGACACUCAUCAGAUUCUAAUUUUGGGAAUUGGUUAAAAAGAUUUAGUUAUUAAUCUAUAGUCCUCUAUUAAACUUUAUGUGAUCUUAGAUUUUGGUGGUAUCAAGCUAUUUGAAAGAGACUACUAUGUUAGGACCUCAAAUCAACUUCUUAAUGUAUAUAUGUUGAGUAGAUCUUGCAAAAGAUUAACCAGAAAUAUUUUCCCUGCACAAAAAAUGAAUUAGAAUCAUGAAUCAUCUUCAAUGUUUGCAUAACUGCUAAUUGGUAUUAGAGAUGAUCAAGAAUUAGUUGUUCUUUCGCAUUGC
rnacentral:lncRNA from 1 species